UUUUUUUUUUUUUUUUUUUUUUUGAGACAGGAUCUUCUCACUCUGUCGCCAGUGCAGUGGUAUGAUCUCGGCUCACUGCAACCUCCGCCUCCUGGGUUCAAGCAAUUCUCCCGCUUCAGCCUACCGAGUAGCUGAGAUUACAGGUGCAAGCCAACACAGCCUGGCUAUUUUUUGUAUUUUUAGUAGGUGGGUUUUCACUAUAUUGGUCAGGAUGAUCUCAAACUCCCAACCUCAGGUGAUCCGCCCGCCUCAGCCUCCCAUAGUGCUAGAAUUACAGGAGUGAACUACUGCGCCCGGCCUAGCCUUUAAACUUUACAGAAGAUCAGAAAAUUUUGACAGUUCUGUUGGGUUGCUCUAGAAGGAAAAGACAAAACAAAACCAAGCUCUAACAGUAUCAAUUUAAUCUCAAGCAGAAUUUCUGGUUAUAGCUGUAGUACUCUAAGGGUAGAGGUUCUUAAUCUUCAGUCCAGUAUUGAUAACUCCCCUACAGUAAAGAGGAAGAUAUUGGCAAAAGCAGAAUAACAGAACAGACACCUCAGGAAUACAUUCAAGGCAGAUUUAGCCAGGUAGGGCAGCAGAUCAUGACUGUGUUCUCAAUGCUUCGGGAGGCCAAAGCAAGAGGAAUGGCUUGAGGCCAGGAGUUUGAGACUCGGGAAAUAUAGCGAGAUCCCAUCUCUACAAAAAAUAAAACUAGCCAGGCAUGUUGGCAUGCACCUGAAGUCCCAGCUACUCAGGAGGCUGAGGCAAGGAGGACUGCUUGUGGCCAGGAGUUCAGGGCUGCAGUGAGCUAUGAUCAUUUGGUAUUCCAAAUUUUCAAAUGUACCGAAAUUAUCAAUGUACUAAUACAUAAUGGUGCUCUAUUGUAGCUGCAGCUGAAAUUUUUUUUCCCCGUUUCCUAAACUUUCAUAUAUUUUGAAGUUUAAAAUAAAAAUGUCCAUGUGUGUAGCUGUACAAGUGAAUACAUCCCCUUUAAAAAAAAGCUUGGGCCGGGCGUGGUGGCUCACGCCUGUAAUCCCAGCACUUUGGCAGGUGGAUCAUGAGGUCAGGAGAUCGUCUCAAAACAAAAAACAAAAAACAAAAAACAAACAAACAAACAAACAAAAAAAAACCCUUGAUUUUUCACUAUAGUAAAAAAAAAAAAAAAAAAAAGGGUAGAAACAAACCAGAGGUAAUAUAAUAGUGCUUGAUUAAAGAUCUGUCAGACAGAAAGUAACUGAGGAUAGGCAGUUCAAACAACAUACAACUCCUUUUAAAGGAUAAUUUUUAAAAUUUUUGUAGCAAAAACUAUUUCAAAAUGAUCACAAUAAUUUUGAGGUAUGUCCUUACUUGGCUUAAGUCUGGACAAAAAUAUUUUAAAUGUGUGCUUACAGAACACGGGCAGAGCUAUUUUUGAUGGGUUACUCACUUCUGAACAUUAUUCUUAUGAUCAAAUAAAAAUAGGAUACAGCUAAGCUUUAAAUAUUUGAAGGUAGCUUGUUUGGACUAGACAAUAUCUAACUGGCCAGCCUACAAGGAAUUGGUAGGUAUAAAAUAUACAAUUAUUCUACAUACUGUACAUUUUUAUGUGAUUAAAAUCCUUUUAAAAAUACUUCAGAGAAAUUAAAAGACCAUUAAGCAGUUUCGAGGCUGUCCCUUUCCAUUUAUAAUGACACAAAAAUAUUGCUACUAAUUUUGCACAAAUUUAAUAUGGAAAUAUUUUCAACAGAAUAAGACACAACAAUGAAGGCUUCAUGAAUAAUUUAUUCCAUUUGAAGUUUUGUUUUUUGUUUUUGUUUUUUUUUAAAAAGUAUAAACCUUUUCAUUUCCUCAAUCACAAUUUGUACAACUCAGUGUUAUGGCAUUCGGCAGCAAUAGUGUUUGUUCCUUAUUCUCUUUUUGUCACGUUAAAAAGAAAAGCAAUUGGACCAUAUUAAAUGUCACUGCUAAACAACAACUUUAAAACGCCCCUUCAUAAAGUGACCAAGCUAUUUUGAGAGGGUUGAUGCUGACAUGUCCAGUAAUGACGUUACAAUUUGUAGCUUAAACUCAAUAACUUUAAGGUCCACAUAUCCAGUUUACUUUGAAAACUAAAGCUGUUUUAAAACUUCAUGAAUACAUCAACCUGAGGAGUAUUUUAGGUCCCAAAUCCAGUUUUUAAAUUUAUACUCCACAAAAAAGAAAAUACAUACAUAAAAAUUUAAACCACAGUUCUGGGCCCAUUAAAAUACCAAAAAACAAAAAAAAAAACCAAAAAAACAAAAAAAACCCCAAAAAGUUAAGAUUUCCAGCUCAUUUUUGGAGGGGUGGGACAAAAUAAGAAUGUAUAUUAAAAACAUUUUUCCUUAAUUCAGACGAACUAAAAUCUUAAGAGGAAACCCAGACCAAAAUAUUACUCAUGCAACAUUAAGUGUAUUAACUGAUUGAUAUGCAAUGCCAUAGUGGAUGAAUAGCAAAUUAUAUGAUGCAAUAGCAUUUAAAAACUUUUUAAUCUAUUCAAUUUGAACAUUUUAAAUAAUGCAACAUAGUAUUCUGAUAUUACAGUAUUAACAUAGUGCUUGAUUAAAGAUCUGCAAAUCUUUGUAGUAACACAUUAAGUUAAAAAAUUACCUCCAGAAGGUAAGUAUGAAGACGAAAGGAGAAUAUUUUAAUACAGUAAUCUGUGCCAUACUGACAAUUGAGUACGAAUACAGCUGAGGAUAGUUGACUAAGUAGUAAGAGCUUAAUUUUAGUGGUUUAAGAAAAGUUUAGAAAUAUUUAAAAAUUACAGCUACUUUAAAAUUUAAGGAUUACAUAUAAGUACACUUGGUGGCCUUCUGGCCAAACAAUAAGGUGUACAGAAAUUUAUUCAUACAGUGUUAAUUCACAGUCCUGAUAACUGAAUGGCUUGCAUAAGAAAGGUAUGGCUAGAUGUUUCUCACUGGCUGGAAGCAGACAUUAUAUAACUCAUCUUUUUAAAUGACAAAAUACUGAACUUCCACCCUGCUUAAUAAUCAUGGAUAACUGCACAAAAAAAAGAUGUUAGCACUGUAACAAAGAAGUCAAGGUGUUGGUAAUCCACUGCUAAAAAGCAUAAUAUUUUGCUUACCCAUUUAAACAAAACUACCCAUACUUGUCUGUGACAGUACAUUAGUAAGUCAAAUCCAUCAUCCUGCACGAGGCUUAAUUUCUCAAAUAAGUCUAUGAGUUUUUCUAAUGAUUAUUUAAUAACUUUCUAUUGAGUGUGAGUGGAUAUAUGAAGGGAAAAAAAAAAUCUUAUCAAUAAAUAUUGUAUAUUUGGGAACUAUUCCCUGAUUCCCAAAUAAAAAAUAAUUGUAUACUGGGUUCCCUCCUUAUGGCUCCACAUUAAAUAAUCUGUCAGGGAAUGAUUUUAAAUCUACUUUCAAUCUGAGGUGUGGUUACCACAGGUUAGUGAUUUUAAACAACUGAGAAUAUAACUUUUAUUUUGUAAAGUCACUAUUAAGUAUAUAAAAAGGAUACUCUUUUUAUGGAAAUUCCAAAUAAGCAUAUUUUCCUUCAAAUCUCAGACAAGUUUUUGUUUUUUUUGUUUUUUUUUUGUUUUUUUUAAAGAAAGUACAGAACAAAACAUACCAAAAUAAUGUGUGGUGUGUUAGCAUAAUUUAAAAACAAAUGCAGAGAGGUGAUCUUUAAAUUUAAUAUCAAAAUAUGCUGACCAUUGGAAUUGCAUUAUAGUUUUGAAGAAAUGAUUGAAAACCUUUGUCAAUUGUGUUUGCUUCAUAGAAAAAACAAGACUUGCUAAUGUUUUCAUAUACACAAUCUGAAGAAGUUAUUAUCGUUCAUAAGAAAGUGAUAUUUAAUUCUAAGCAUAGAGUAUUCACAAAACAAGUUUCAGUAAAAAAAAAAAAAAAACCAAAAAACCAAAAAAAAACCCACUGAAAUAGAGUUUUGUAAAUACAACUGAUUUUGUCCUUGUAGAUAAUUAGUGAACGUACAAAUAGAAAUUUUGCUAGACUGCUUCCAAGAAAGAUAGGUAGACUCGGCGACUGUGAAUUCAAGUCAGCAAUGCAGGUAGGAGGCGAACUUGGGCUCUUUUGUGAGCAGCACUGUAGAAAGGAUUUUUCAAGGGGGUACACCCUGCAUAAAAGCAGUUAUCUUGGCAUGUGCAAACAAGAAGGGGGAAAGUUGUAUUGAAGGAGGGGUGAAUUAAAGUCCCUAAAAUUCAAGUCCCUUCUUUAGGGAGGUGAGAACCUCCUUGGCAUAUGCCCUACCUUAAUCUGAGCUGUGUUAUAGAAAAGUACAGACUCUGGUGUUUGGGACUGACAUCUCCAAACCAAGAAAAUUAAAUAAAUAAAAAAGGCAAGGGAAGUUUAGAAAAUGGUUCUUUCACUAGUGGAAUAGAGUCUGAAUACCAGAAUUCACUGAGAAUCUAUUUACACCACAGUUUGAUUGCGCGCACACACACACAUCCAUACAUAUGCAUACUCUCACAUACAUUCCCAAUCUUUAAUUUAAAAAAAAAGUCAAACAAUCAAGAGUGACUGCUUGUAAAAUAAUUUGUAAAAUGCCUAGAGCUGGGCUAAAUUUCAACCUUAUAGCAGAUCCUGAAAAUAAAUUUCAUAAUAAUAGUCCCAUGCCUAAAUGUGCCACUGUUAAAACUGAAAAAAAUUUAAGCAUGUAACAUUAAACACCAAAAUUAGUUUAAGCAUUCAGUAGCAAAUGGUUUUUCUUGUAAAACUAAGUUUCUUGCACUGGAAAUGGCCUGAAAUAUUAGUCAUAGCCCUAAACCAUAGUACAAAAUAUAACUGAAGAAUUCUCAUUUUAUUCUAAGUUAAACCACCUAACAAUACCACUUGUAUAUUGCCAUCAUGUUAUUCUGUAAAGAUGUGAUAUAUAAAAUGCUGUAAGACCUGGUACCUUUUCAAUUUAUAAACACAGUGAACUUCAUUACUGUACAUGUACUCUGC
rnacentral:lncRNA from 1 species